rnacentral:rRNA from 1 species
CCUACGGGGGGCUGCAGUGAGGAAUAUUGGUCAAUGGGCGCGAGCCUGAACCAGCCAAGUAGCGUGAAGGAUGACUGCUCUACGGGUUGUAAACUUCUUUUAUAAAGGAAUAAAGUGAGCCACGUGAGCAUUUUUGCAUGUACUCUAUGAAUAAGGAUCGGCUAACUCCGUGCCAGCAGCCGCGGUAAUACGGAGGAUCCGAGCGUUAUCCGGAUUUAUUGGGUUUAAAGGGAGCGUAGAUUGUGUUGUAAGUCAGUUGUGAAAGUUUGCGGCUCAACCGUAAGAUUGCAAUUGAAACUGGCAGCCUUGAGUACAGUAGAGGUAGGCGGAAUUCGUGGUGUAGCGGUGAAAUGCUUAGAUAUCACGAAGAACACCGAUUGCGAAGGCAGCUUACUAAACUGCCACUGACAUUGAUGCUCGAAAGUGUGGGGAUCAAACAGGAUUAGAUACCCGGGUAGUC